rnacentral:lncRNA from 1 species
GGGCUAAGAGCUCAAACGAGUCACAAUAGGGAGGCUAGUGACCCCCAUCCAUUCCCAUGGCAUCGUUUGAAGGGCUCUGGAGCCAGCCGCCUGGGUUCGAAUCCUGACUGUCCCCCUCACCAGGCUCUGGGGAGGAAAGGGAGCCCAUGGCAGACCAGACCCCUGGCCGGCCAGGGUCCCCGGGGUCUGCGAGGAGGACGUUCAUGGGCGAGUGUGUGGUGGUGGGUGAACUGCGGCAGAACCCGAGAUUAACAGCUGGAACCCUCUCCUCUUGCAGAUGAGGAAACCAGGGAAAUCAAGGGUGUUUGAGUGACUGACCGAAAGUCACACAGCUAGGAAGUAAAGGAGCCAGGAUACAGGCCCAGAGCUCUGGUUUUAUCUGAAACCAAAACCAGAAGUUCCUCUUCCAGCUGCCCACCACCUCUCUGAGUAUCAGCCCUGCUAAUGACAAUGAUAACAUCAGCUCUGCAGCAUCGUUCUAAGCACUGUACGUUAAUGCGAUCAGUUAAUAAAAGCAUCUUGCCUUAAUUAAUUUACUCCUCUCAAUAACCCUUUGAGGUAGGUACAAUCUUUACUGCCAUUUGACAGAUGAGGCACAGGGAGGUUAAGGGAUUUGCCUAAGGUCACACCACUGGGAAGUGACAGAGGCAGGCUUUGAAUCUUCACACACUUGCUACCACACACUCACCAUUUUUGUAGUCAGGAUUUCAUAGGCUCAGGGUCCGAGGGGACUGGGGCAUGCCAGGGGGGUGGGAAGGUAGGAUGCAGAGCCGAAAUAGGAGACACUGGAGCUGGGACAGGAGCCCAGAGAGAAGAUGAGCAGCAGAGCAUGGUCUCCGGCAGCCUGCGUCCCUCCUUUCCAAGUCACGAUGCCAACCAGAAGCCCUAAUCGAGGGUGGUGCUGGAGAGGCUCUGGGAGGAGACCGGGAUGGUGGCGCAUAUGGCCGUGCCACCCUAGACCGCCCUUCAGGGAGGGUCCUGAUGGCCUGGCUUGGCUUUUCUGCAGAAGCAUCAGCUGGGGACAAGUAAGGGGUGGGGAGGGAAGCGAGAGGAGACGGAACUGCAGACUGGGCAGACUGGGUUCCCCAUUAGCCAGGCCAUAUGUCCAAAUGUGGACACAUAAGUGCGAGCAGGCACCAAGCCUGGCGAGCCCAGCUGCAGAACAGCAUGGGGAGAGCUCGCC